UACAGAGGUCCCGAGCGUUGUUCGGAUUCAUUGGGCGUAAAGGGUGCGUAGGCGGCGGGGCAAGUCUGAUGUGAAAUCCCGGGGCUCAACCCCGGAACUGCAUUGGAUACUGCCUUGCUUGAGUACUGGAGAGGGAACUGGAAUUUACGGUGUAGCAGUGAAAUGCGUAGAGAUCGUAAGGAAGGCCAGUGGCGAAAGCGACUUCCUGGACCAAUACUGACGCUCAGGUGCGAAAGCGUGGGGAGCAAACAGG
rnacentral:rRNA from 1 species